UACGUAGGCAGCGAGCGUUGUUCGGAAUUACUGGGCGUAAAGAGUGCGUAGGCGGUCCUGUAAGUUUGGUGUGAAAUCUCCCGGCUCAACUGGGAGGGUGCGCCGAAGACUGCAGGGCUUGAGUAUGGGAGAGGUAAGCGGAAUUCCUGGUGUAGCGGUGAAAUGCGUAGAUAUCAGGAGGAACACCGGUGGCGAAGGCGGGUCUCUGGGCCGAUACUGACGCUGGAGGAGCGAAAGCGUGGGGAGCGAACAGG
rnacentral:rRNA from 1 species